rnacentral:rRNA from 1 species
GACGAACGCUGGCGGCGUGCUUAAUACAUGCAAGUCGAACGGAAGUAGCAAUACUUUAGUGGCGCACGGGUGAGGAACACGUAGAUGAUCUGCCCUUGAGAUCGAGAUAACCCCGGGAAACUGGGGCUAAUACCGGAUAAUGCAUUAUUAUUGGUUUAAUAAUGUUAAAGCGGCGCAAGUCGCACUUGAGGAUGAGUCUGCGACCUAUCAGCUAGUUGGCGGUGUAAUGGACCACCAAGGCAAAGACGGGUAGCUGAUCUGAGAGGAUGAUCAGCCACACUGGGACUGAGACACGGCCCAGACUCCUACGGGAGGCAGCAGUAGGGAAUAUUGCGCAAUGGGGAAACCCUGACGCAGCGACGCCGCGUCGAGUGAUGAAGGCCUUUCUGGUUGUAAAGCUCUGUAAGGAGGAAGAAUGUCAGGCAGUAACGUGUCUGAGUGACGGUACCUCCGGAGUAAGGACCGGCUAAAUACGUGCCAGCA